AUUUCCACCGUGUUAUGCUAACGACACCGCUGCUCUCUUGGGGAGAAUUCCCAACGACGCGGCUUACAAAAUAUUCCAGUGAGGUCGUUGGAAAUGUGAUUUAGGAGUCUCGGGGGAAAUAAGCUCACAGGGUGGUGUAAUAUCCUUACCCUGUUAGACGAAGCAAUAAUCUCCACAGAGCCAGCAAGGGGACGCCUGCAUCCCCGGGACGCUGAGCAAUGCCAGGGGAGAGACUGCUGGCAUUCAUGAGGCCAUGUGUGUGUGUGUACAGAGAGACAGCCGGGUUCACAAUGGAUAUAAGGAAGUUUUUUCCAAAAAAGGAGCCACAUUCAGUCCAAAGAGGGAGAGAAUAAAGAGGGGAACGUGAGGAGAAAGUACAGGGUCAAGAAGAACCAGUCCAUUCCACCCCCCUGUUCUGCAGCGGUGCCACAGACUACACCUCCGUCACAGUGUUGUUCUGCGUUCAUCUGUGACCCAGACUACAA